rnacentral:rRNA from 1 species
UUUAAUGAGAGUUUGAUCCUGGCUCAGGACGAACGCUGGCGGCGUGCCUAAUACAUGCAAGUAGAACGCUGAGGUUUGGUGUUUACACUAGACUGAUGAGUUGCGAACGGGUGAGUAACGCGUAGGUAACCUGCCUCAUAGCGGGGGAUAACUAUUGGAAACGAUAGCUAAUACCGCAUAAGAGUAAUUAACACAUGUUAGUUAUUUAAAAGGAGCAAUUGCUUCACUGUGAGAUGGACCUGCGUUGUAUUAGCUAGUUGGUGAGGUAAAGGCUCACCAAGGCGACGAUACAUAGCCGACCUGAGAGGGUGAUCGGCCACACUGGGACUGAGACACGGCCCAGACUCCUACGGGAGGCAGCAGUAGGGAAUCUUCGGCAAUGGACGGAAGUCUGACCGAGCAACGC